rnacentral:misc_RNA from 1 species
GUAGGUGAACCUGCGGAAGGAUCAUUAUUGAAUAAACCUGAUGUGGUUGUUGCUGGCUCUCUCGGGAGCAUGUGCACACCCGUCAUCUUUAUAUUUCCACCUGUGCACCUUUUGUAGACCCAGAAGACUUGAGCAAUCGAGUCGUUUGGGCCUAUGUCUUAUCAUAUACCCCAUAGUAUGUAUUAGAAUGUAUCAGUGGGCUUUGUGCCUAUAAACACUAUACAACUUUCAGCAACGGAUCUCUUGGCUCUC